rnacentral:rRNA from 1 species
AUGACCGCCGACACGUCGGACUACGAAUCCCCGUGGGCGUGCCUGCUGCAACCAGACGUUGUUCGGCUGAUCGGGUGGCGAGUGCUGGCCAGCGACCUGCUCGACUAUGUCCGCUUCCGCGCCACCUGCCAGCAUUGGAGGUCCAGCACCGUCUCCCCACGCGGCAGUGGCAUCGUCGAUCCGCUAUUUCAUCCCCGUCGGUGGAUGCUGCUGCCUCAGGGGCACGGGCUGCACCCUGGCAACGGCGUGCUACGAUUCUUCAAUCUCUCGAGAGGGAUCUUCGUCCGCACCCGGCUCCCGCUUCUCACGGAUCAUCGCGUCCUCGACUCGCUCGAUGGAGUCCUCCUCCUGCAACACAAUCGCGACGACGACGUCCCAAUUCGCGUCCUCAAUCCUCUCACCGGCGAUACUGCGGAGCUCCCCGCGCGCACGCCUUCCGUGGAAAUCUAUUUUGAUUCGCUUAUCAAUAAUCAAGAGCAUGCCGCCUCCUUGAGCGUCAGUGCAGACGGAGUCGCCAUGGUCGCCGUCGCGCUAUUUAGUUUGUCGACUAUAAUAUUUGCUACCACGAGAGAUCGGCGAUGGAGCGUCGCCACAUGGAACCCCCGAUAUAUGGGAGUGCCAUCAGUAUCAUUCCAAGGAAAGAUAUACGCCUUGCGAAGUUCCGCGGAGGUGGGUACAUAUAAGAGGACAGUGCAAAUUUUCCAGAUCGAGCCACAGCUGAUGCGGAUAGGUCCAUCCUACCCAAAGUUGAUUGCAUCAUGUACAAUUGGUGGAAUCGACGACUCUUUUGAUCUGGUAGAAUGUGACUCGGAAAUCCUGUUGAUCCAUACAAAAUACAGUGCGACGUCUCCUGAAUUUCUAGUAUACAAAUUAGCCGACCUUAUUCUGGGUAAGCUUGUCCCGGUGACAAGCAUAGGGGGCAAUGUUCUCUUUGUUGAUGUCGCGAGGAGACAGAGUGUGAGUUCCCGAGCUAUGCUUGGCAAUGGCAUUACAGGUGACGCCGUUGUCUAUCUUGUGCCCUCGUAUGGCCGUCCUCAACAGUACCAGAUCGGUAGUGGUACAUGGUCGGAUGUAGCAGGGGAUGUCUCAGAUGAGGUGAAACGUAGAAGUGAUAUUUAUAGAAGUGAUGAGAUGGCCACAUGGGGUGUAAAUUAUCGUUUUCAUCCUGUACGCGAGAAAGCAGAGGAGCUUGGAUCAAUGACAGACUUUCUUGGCUUUAUUUCUGUACCUUGUGGCUGGUGUGAUUAG